CCUUUGGUUAGUAUCCAUACACUGGUUAAAACUGGCAGUCUACCUUGUGAAUGGGCACUAUGCCACUCUAACAGAUGGGCAUGACAGUAGACCAGCCAGGGAAACAUUAAACUCAUCCAAUUUGAGUAUUAAGGACCAAAGAGUCUAUCCAUAAAUAUGACAUGGGCAAAUUUCUCUCAUUGUAAGUGGUAAAGUAGAUAAACUGUCACUACCUGAGCUACCAGAUGAUUGAACUUUCACGUUCUCGGAUUUGCUUGGUGACUUCCAGACUUUUGGCUCAAGAAGAAUGAGGACUACUGCUUUUUUUUAAAAAAAAGCAUCUAGGAAAGAACAUUGCUUUCUGAAAGAAACUUCCACACUUCAGUGAACAAAAUAUCAACUGGCAUGACUGACCGAUCAGUGUGGACAAGGAGGAUGCAGGACCAGCAUCGGAAGUAUUAGAAUUCUGAAGACAGUUUGUGGUGGAGACAUCUCGAAAACAGCUGCUCCAGACCAUUUUCUCACCAAGCACUAAGGACAGGACGCUUACUAUUCUGAGAGGAGAGAAGAAGUCUUAUUUGCUCAUGCCCCCGUGGACCAGCCAGCAUCCUGCUCCUCUGAGCUGCCGUAACCGCAGCCCCCUCUGAGGCCUGUGGGGCAGCCCCACGGCGGCGUGUGGGCCGGCGCCCCCCGCGGUGUUCCCUGUGCUUGGCUGUCCGCCCCCCAGAGCUGCUCACCUGGGGCUGCGCUGCCCUGCUGUCACCAGCGGAAGCGACACCAAGACUAGUCUCACCCACAGGGGUGACUGCUGCUCCGCAGGGUGUUACUGAAGGCUCAUCACCAGCGAUUUCAAGACGGAUUUCCAGCUGUGUGGAUGUGAGGGCAGCACACAGUAACAGCAUGGCUGUACUUCUGCCCAGAAUUUCCCA